rnacentral:rRNA from 1 species
CGCCUGGGGAGUACAGUCGCAAGGCUGAAACUCAAAAGAAUUGACGGGGACCCGCACAAGCAGUGGAGCAUGUGGUUUAAUUCGAUGCUACGCGAAGAACCUUACCCAGGCUUGACAUGCAGCGGACCGGUCCAGAAAUGGGCCUUUCCUUCGGGACUGCUGCACAGGUGCUGCAUGGCUGUCGUCAGCUCGUGCCGUGAGGUGUUGGGUUAAGUCCCGCAACGAGCGCAACCCUUAUCAUUAGUUGCCAACAUUUAAGGUGGGAACUCUAAUGAGACUGCCCGGGUUAACCGGGAGGAAGGUGAGGAUGACGUCAAGUCCGCAUGGCCCUUAUGCCUGGGGCUACACACGUGCUACAAUGGUCGGUACAGAAGGCAGCAAGACCGUAAGGUGGAGCAAAUCCCGAAAGCCGGCCUCAGUUCAGAUUGUAGUCUGCAACUCGACUACAUGAAGACGGAAUUGCUAGUAAUGGCGAGUCAGCAACAUCGCCGUGAAUACGUUCCCGGG